rnacentral:lncRNA from 1 species
AUUGAACUCAGGGCCUUGUGCUUGCCAGGCAGGUGCUAUGCCCCUGAGCUACAUCCCCAGCCCCACUGCAUUCUGGUUUUGGGGAAAAGAUGACAAUUCAUGUGAAUUAUCAAUAUAUUAGAAAGCAAUAAGAAAUGUGGAGUGAGGGGAGAAAAGCAGAGAAAGAUUAGCAAGGGAUUUAGGAGUCUAGGCUGAGUGAGGAGCAAGUCGUCAUUCUAAAGUGAGUGAUCAGGAUAGGCCUCAUUCAGAUGCUGACAAGAGCAAAGACUUGGAGCAUGUAAAGGAGUUGGCCAUGUAGAUGCCUGGGAAAGAACAUUCCUGGUAGGGGAAGCGGCCAGUGCUGAGGUAGAAGAGGGUCUGAUGUUUGAGGAAUAGCAAGGAAGCCACUGUGGCCUCGAUGGAGUAAGGGAGAGAGAAGGCGAGAGAUGGGCCAGAGCACUUCCCCUAAAAUGCAGACUUUGGAGCAUGAUGAAGAUACUGGCCUGUGAGGAGAUGGGUGCUGUGAGGGAAUGAGGACCCAGCUCUUGUAAAAUAAGAGUGGGAGGGCUGGUGUGGGUUCACCGUACUGGGAAGGAGGGCAGAGGCUGGCCUGGAGCAGGGAGGGGAGGGCUCCUCUCCCUCCUUUCCUGGUGACAGGAAAUGGGGUGGCUGGCUGAUCUGGAAGCUGCUGAGCUGACCCCAGGUUGAGCCUCUCUCUACUGCCUUUCCUGCAGGACAGGGCAGCAGUAACCAUUCCUCUGGUCAACCGGCCUUUGUCUCUCUGCAGCCUCUUAUACCAGUAACUUGGCCUAUAGCUUCUACAGUCACAAGCUCUAUGCCGAGGCCUGUGCCAUCUCCGAGCCACUCUGUCAGCACCUGGGCUUGGCCAAGCCAGGCACUUACCCUGAGGUGCCUCCUGAGAAAUUGCACAGGUGCUUCCGGUUGCAUGUAGAGAGUUUGAAGAAACUGGGUAAACAGGCACAGGGCUGUGAGAUGGUGACCUUAUGGCUGGCGGCCCUGCAGCCCUGCAGCCCCGAACACAUGGCUGAGCCAGUCACUUUCUGGGUUCGGGUCAAGAUGGAUGCAACCAGGGCUGGAGACAAGGAGCUACAGCUGAAGACUCUGCGAGAUAGCCUGAGUGGCUGGGACCCAGAGACCCUGGCCCUCCUGCUGAGGGAGGAGCUGCAGGCCUACAAGGUGGUGCGGGCUGACACUGGGCAGGAGCGCUUCAAUGUCAUCUGUGAUCUGUUGGACCUGAGUCCUGAGGAGACACCGACUGGGGCCUGGGCACGAGCCACCCACCUGCUGGAACUGGCUCAGGUGCUCUGCUACCACGACUUUGCCCAGCAGACAGACUGCUCUGCCCUGGAUGCUAUCCAGGAAGCCCUGCAGCUUCUGGAGGCUGUUAAGCCAGAGGCUCAGGCCAAGAAUCGGCUUCUGGACGAUAAAGCCCAGGCACUGCUGUGGUUCUACAUCUGUACCUUGGAGGCCAAAAUGCAGGAAGUGAGUCUGACUCGAUAG